GUCCUGCGGCAGCUUCGCCAUCCGGUUUGCCUGCGCCGUUGAGGAAAUAGACAUUGCCAUCUGCGCCGGCAGUGGCGAUCUCGCCGUCAUUGGACACGAUCACCGCAUUUAGCGGCGCGGGCAGGGUAACGAUGGCUGGGGAAGCGGUGCUGUCGAGCGGCCAGAUGCGAACCGUCAGGUCAUAGCUGACANNNNNNNNNNNCGAGAAAUUUGCCAUCGGGGCUGAACGCGACACCAUUCACGUUCUGUGUAUGACCUUCCAG
rnacentral:misc_RNA from 1 species